rnacentral:rRNA from 1 species
AGAGAGAGACAUGCGCGCAUAUCAAUAAGCGGAGGAAAAGAAACUAACAAGGAUUCCCUUAGUAACGGCGAGUGAAGCGGGAAGAGCUCAAAUUUGAAAUCUUCAAGGUUCUACCUUGACGAAUUGUAGUUUAUAGAAGUGUUUUCUGUUAGUGGAGUGGCAAAAGUUCUUUGGAAUAGGACAUCAUAGAGGGUGAGAAUCCCGUAUUUGGUCAUUCCUCCUAGCGUUGUGAUACACUUUCAACGAGUCGGAUUGUUUGGGAAUGCAGUCCAAAAUGGGUGGUAAAUUUCAUCUAAAGCUAAAUAUUGGCGAGAGAUCGAUAGCGAACAAGUACCGUGAGGGAAAGAUGAAAAGAACUUUGAAAAGAGAGUUAAACAGUACGUGAAAUUGUCAAAAGGGAAGCGUUUGACACCAGUGUUGUUUUUCCGAAAAUCAAUUACGAAUGUUUUAUUUUUGAGGAGUUAUGACUUCAAUCGGCUUGCUCCUUUCUUUAUGAAACUUUCUUAAUGCACUUUUCGGUUAACAAGUCAACAUCAAUUUCUUUUGUUGUAAAAGGGUAAUGAGGAAGGUGGCUUGCGCUUUCGGAUAAAGUGUUUAUAGCCUUGUAUCCUCUGCAAUCGGAGAGAUUGAGGUCUGCAGCGUAGAUCCUUCGGGGUUAGAUACAUUUGGUGCUAAGUUAUAGCUUGUCAUAGACAACUUGUUGACUAUGUUUAGUCAUUGUAGCUUACUCGCUGACUGCUAUUUUACCUACGCUUAGGAUGUUGAUAGUCACAGCGUGUAC